rnacentral:lncRNA from 1 species
AUGCAUAGUGUUCACAAAGAUCAAAUUCUGGGAGUUUACAUUUCUGAAACUUGGGUCAAGGUCCUGACCAAUCCUCAAAAGAGCAACUGUGUGGACAUCUGUGGCAAUGUCAGAUUCACUGAAUCCCAAGACAAGGAGCUCUUUGAUAAUGGGCUAGAGGAAAGUGUGAAAGAAUGGUUUAGAACUAAUUCAAGAAAGAACAAUCUGAUUCCCACUUGGAGGAGGACGCAGGAGCUGAAUCAGAUGGGGCUGUGGUGCCUGGGGAGGAGGAAAUUGUGAGUACUUGCUCUUGAUUGAGUAUCAUUAUCCUCCUGUUGUCUAGGAAGAUGAUUGUUAUAAUUAGCCACAAAUGUCAUGGGCAACUAUAAUUUACCUUUUCCUGUAACAACUGAUAGUUUACCUUUUCAAUGCCUCCUUUUAUCUUCCCACCAUGGGGCUUUCCCCAUCCCUCCAUAACAA